UACGGGGGGGGCAAGCGUUGUUCGGAAUUACUGGGCGUAAAGGGCUCGUAGGCGGCCAACUAAGUCAGACGUGAAAUCCCUCGGCUUAACCGGGGAACUGCGUCUGAUACUGGAUGGCUUGAAUCCGGGAGAGGGAUGCGGAAUUCCAGGUGUAGCGGUGAAAUGCGUAGAUAUCAGGAGGAACACCGGUGGCGAAGGCGGUUCUCUGGGCAUUACCUGACGCUGAGGAGCGAAAGUGUGGGGAGCGAACAGG
rnacentral:rRNA from 1 species